GGAGACAUCACAAUGAAUGGCUGAGAUAUGAAAGGGAUCAAAGGGGACUGCAGUGAGCAAUUAUUUGCCAAUAAACUAAAUAACAUAGAAGAAAUUGAUAAAUUUAUAUAAACACAUAAAGUACCAAGAUUGAAUGAUAAAAACUUAGAAACUUUUUUUUUCCUGGAGACAGUCUUGCUUAGGCACGUGCCAGGCUAAUUUUCAUGGAGGUGGAGGUUUCAGUGAGCCGAAGAUUGAGCUACUGCAGUAUAGCCUGGGCAAGAGAGUGAGACUUUGUCUCAAAAAAAAAAAAAAAAAAAGGAAAAGAAAAUGAUAAUUCACCAGAACAGAAUACACUGAAGGACACCACAGAUUCUGCAGAGGAAAGGGUUGGUAACCAAACCCAAUGACAGCAUUCAGCUGAUAAAAGUGAGUGAAGCUCCAGUGAGGACAGAGAGUCCCCUUCUGUGACUUAUUAUUCCAUUAUGGAUCUGUGGAUCUCAGGCCAAGGGAGAACACCUUGUUUCUUCCAAGCCUGGGAGUUAACCAGUGGAGAGGUUGAGAGGCAGAGAGGAAGAAAGAGGCACCAGGAAAAGCUCUAGGCAUUUUUCCAGAUCCAAGGCUGAGACGAAGACACCGCUGUAGAACUGAAGCAAGAGAAGAGUGGCAAAAGCUGAGGUUUCUCCUGGGCAGAGACUUGCAGCCAGGGAAAGCUUUGUGACCUGGAACCUGUCUGUUUGUGUUACUGCUAGAUGUCUCAGCCUACUCCCCUGGCUUGUGGGCAAAGCAUGCCUCACCACUUCUGAAGAAUGAGAGGGAGGCCGACCCCACUUCUGCUUGCCUCAAUUGGGAGCAUGGGCCAAAACUUCCCUCCAUUGCAAAGAUCUCAGUGCAAAAGAGCUCUCUUCACUUGACACCAAGACAUGUCUUCAGGCACUUGGAGCACCCACUCCUAGAUUAUAAAUUUAGGCUGACCUCAGCCUAAAUUUGGGGCAGAACUUGGGGCAGCAGAGGUUUCACAACUCCAUGCCUAGACACACCUCUGGCCACUAGGAGCUGUACAGCAGAACCCCUUCCCCUCAGAACUAAUGCUUUUGCCUGUCAUUGGGGGACUUGUAGACGGGCCUUUCUGGUUCAGCCCUGCCCAUGUUGUGCCAGCCAAACCCAUAUGUGGGGCUAAGCAGGGAGCUCAGAUCACUGUGCAUUUCACAGAUCAGCCAAUUGCCUGAGGCAAUAGAGAGUUUCUCUGAGUAAACAGGCAUCGAGUAUGCACACAUCUACACUGGCAACAGUUAUUAUCUGUGCCACCUACUGGACUGAACAUUGAACAGUGAAUACUCUUGCAACUUGUAUAGACUUUCCCACUGAAAGCACAGAACCAAAGUCAAAGACAACAUCAUACAUUAUAGACACCUCCCAAAGGGGUGUGUGUGACCAGGGUGGGAUGGGGAUGAGGGACAGUUGAUUCCUGGCCAAACAAGAGUGAAUACAAAAAAGAAAAAGAAAAAAAUUAUCCUGAUGAGAAACAAAGAAAAACUCCAAAAGUGUACUUAGAAAAGAGUGUUACAGCAUUUGCAAAGAAUCACACUAACUCUCCAGCAGUGAAUUUUAACCAAAAUGAAAUCUUUGAAAUACCAGAUAAUUCAAAAUUCUGAUUUUAAAGCUCAAUGAGAAGCCAGGCAUGGUGGUGCACACCUAUAAUCUUAGCUACUCAGGAGGCUGAGGCUGGAGAAUUGCUUGAACCCAGAGGAUAGAGGUUGCAGUGGGCCAAGAUUGUGCCACUGCACUCCAGCCUGGACGACAAAGUGAGACCCUGUCUCAAUAAAUAAAUACAUAAAUAAAUAAAGCUUAAUGAGAUCCAAGAGAAAGCUAAAAACUGACACAAAUCAUGAAAAUAACUUAGGGUGUAUUCAUGAAAGGAAUUACUAAAUACAGCUGAAAUAUUUAACAAUAGGCUAGACCAAGUGGGAGAACAUAUUUCAGAACUCAAAGACAUGUCUUUCAAAUUAACCUAGUCAGACAAAAGUUAAGAAAAAAGAAUUUUGACAAUGAACAAAGCCUCAGAAAAUAAGAUUAUGUAAAGCAUUCAAACCUAUGACUUAGAUAUUAUAGAAGGAGAAGAAGAAAAAGUAAAAAGUAUGCAAAACCUAAUUAAAAGAAUAAUUCAGAAAAACUCAGGCUUUGGGAGAGAUUUAGGCAUCUGACUACAAGAAGCCCAGAGAAUUCCUGGAAGAUAAAUUCCAAGAAGAACCUCACCAAGUCAUUUAGUCAUGAGACUGUUCAACAUAAAUGUGAAGGAAAAAAUCCUAAGGGUGGCGAGAGAGAAAUUUCAAUCUUUUAUAAAGGAAAUCCCAUCAGAUUAACAGCAGGCUGCUAAGCAGAAACCCUACAAGCCAGAAUGAAAAGGGGCUAUUUUUAUCUUCCUUAAUGAAAAAUAUAAUACCCCAUCAAGAAUUUUAUAUUCUGCCAAACUAAGCUUCAUAAAUGGAAGAGAAAUAAAGUAUUUCCCAGACAAACAAAUGCUUAGGAGUUCAUCACCAAUAGAAAAGGCCUACAAGGAAUUAUCAAAGAAGUUCUAAACAUGAAAACAAAAGAAUGAUACUCACCAUCAUAAAAACAAUAUAUAAGUACAAAGUUCACAGAUCCUUUAAACACUCCAAAACAGAUCCUAUUGACACUCCAAAACAACUAGCUAACACUGUAACAGGAACAAAACCUCAUGUAUCUGUAUUAACCUUGAAUGUAAAUAGCCUAAGUGCUCCACUUAAAAGAUAAAGUGUCAAACUGGAUUGAAAAAGUAAGACCCAACAAUCUCCUGCCUGCAAAAGACCUAUAUUGAGAGCUAAAGGCAGCUACAGACUCAUAGUAAAGGAAUGGGAAAAUAUAAAUCACUCAAAUGGAAAGCAAAAGCAGAAAGGAGUAUCAGAUACAACAGAUUUGUUAAAACAACAACAGUAAAAACAACAACAAAAACAAGGGCAUUAUAUAACAUUAAAGGAGAAAUGACAGAGAAGUGUCACUCCCUACUCAUAUCUACUACCCAAUGACUAUUCCUUAUUUCUUUCUCUUCCUUUCUCAUCCAUCCACUGAAACUAACUUAUCCCCUUAGUUUCUGGUUUAUACUUUCUGUAUUUCUUCUACAUAUGUGACAGAUACGUGUACAUUUUUUCAUCCCCUUCCUCCUUACAUGAAAGGUAGCAUACUAUACAUCCUGUUCAUUUAACAGUAUAUUUUUCAAAUUACUUCAGAUUGGUUAGUAGAGAUCUUUCUCACUAUUGUUUAUGGAUAUAAAGUACUCCAUUGUGUGGAAGUAUUAUAAUUCAUCCAACUACUCUCUUGUAAAUGAACAUUUGAGUAGUUUUAAUAUACAAUUAUACAAAUACUGCUGUACUGUAUAUCUUUGUCAUUAUGUAUUUCCUUAUCAUUGAGAUAUAUGUUUACCACAAACUUUCAGCAGCACAAUUAUUGGAUCAGAGGGCAAAUUUUAGUCCCAGUUUUUUCUCCAGCACUGUUUUACCAAUAUGCAUUUCUAUUUUCACUAACAACAUAGGAAAGUUUCUGUUUGCCAAGAGCCUUACCAGAGACUAUGCUUCCAUAUAUUUUAAUUUUGUAAGUCAAAUAGGUAAAAUAUGUUAAAUUUGUAUGUCAUUUUUUAUUUUUAAAAAUGUUUACAGAGACAGUCUCAUUCUGUCACUCAUGAUCGAGUGCUGUGGCACUGUGAUAAUUCACUGCUAGGCUCAAACUCCUGAACUCAAACCAUUCUGCCUCAACCUCCUGAGGAGCUUGAACUAAAGACAUGUGCUAUGCUGGUUAGUUUUUAAAUAUUAUUUUGUAGAGAUAGGGUCUUACAACAUUGCACAGGCUGGCUCAAAUUCCUGGUCACAAGCAAUUCUCCCACCUCCACCUCCCAACAUGCUGGUGUUACAGGUGUUACACACCUGGCUCUAAUUUGCAUUCUAUAAGUCAUGUUUUUGAAUUUUUUUUUUUUUUUUUUUUGAGAUGGAGUCUCACUCUGUCACCCAGGCUGGAGUGCAAUGGCAUGAUCUCAGCUCUCUGCAACCUCCACCUCCUGGAUUAGGAAAUUUUUUUGCCUCAGCCUCCC
rnacentral:lncRNA from 10 species